GAUGAAGAACGUAGCGAAAUGCGAUAAUUAAUGUGAAUUGCAGAUUUCAGUGAAUCAUCGAAUCUUUGAACGCACAUUGCGCCCAUUAGUAUUCUAGUGGGCAUGCCUGUUCGAGCGUCAUUAAGUCCACUUAAGCCCUGCUUAGUGUUGGGAGACUGCUCCAGCGGUGCUACCCUGUAGCUACCCUGCAGCUCCUCAAAGACAGCGGCGGAGUUGUGGUAUCCUCUGAGCUUAGUAACUUGUUCUAGCUUUCGAGUACACCACUUCCCCUGCCGUAAAACCCUUAAUUUUUAAUGGUUGACCUCGGAUCAGGUAGGAAUACCCGCUGAACUUAAGCAUAUCAAUAAGCGGAGGA
rnacentral:misc_RNA from 1 species